GAUGAACGCUGGCGGCGUGCCUAAUACAUGCAAGUCGAGCGAACAGACGAGGAGCUUGCUCCUCUGACGUUAGCGGCGGACGGGUGAGUAACACGUGGAUAACCUACCUAUAAGACUGGGAUAACUUCGGGAAACCGGAGCUAAUACCGGAUAAUAUAUUGAACCGCAUGGUUCAAUAGUGAAAGACGGUUUUGCUGUCACUUAUAGAUGGAUCCGCGCCGCAUUAGCUAGUUGGUAAGGUAACGGCUUACCAAGGCAACGAUGCGUAGCCGACCUGAGAGGGGGAUAGGCCACACUGGAACUGAGACACGGUACAGACUCCUACGGGAGGCAGCAGUAGGGAAUCUUCCGCAAUGGGCGAAAGCCUGACGGAGCAACGCCGCGUGAGUGAUGAAGGUCUUCGGAUAGUAAAACUCUGUUAUUAGGGAAGAACAAAUGUGUAAGUAACUAUGCACGUCUUGACGGUACCUAAUCAGAAAGCCACGGCUAACUACGUG
rnacentral:rRNA from 1 species